GACGAAGGGGGCAAGCGUUGUUCGGAAUUACUGGGCGUAAAGCGUGCGCAGGCGGUUUUGUAAGCCAGAUGUGAAAUCCCCGGGCUUAACCUGGGAAUGGCAUUUGGGACUGCAAGGCUCGAGUGCGGCAGAGGAGACUGGAAUUCCUGGUGUAGCAGUGAAAUGCGUAGAUAUUCGCAAGAACACCAGUGGCGAAGGCGGCUCACUGGCCCGAUACUGACGCUGAGGCACGAAAGCGUGGGGAGCAAACAGG
rnacentral:rRNA from 1 species